AUCCGGAGGGUGCAAGCGUUACUCGGAAUCACUGGGCGUAAAGCGCGCGCAGGCGGUCUUUUAAGUUGGAUGUGAAAGCCUACGGCUCAACCGUAGAACUGCAUCCAAAACUAUUAGACUAGAGUGUGGGAGAGGAAGAUGGAAUUAGUUGUGUAGGGGUAAAAUCCGUAGAGAUAACUAGGAAUACCAAAAGCGAAGGCAAUCUUCUGGAACACUACUGACGCUGAGGCGCGAAAGCGUGGGGAGCAAACAGGAUUAGAUACCCUAGUAGUCC
rnacentral:rRNA from 1 species